rnacentral:lncRNA from 1 species
CCUGCCGGACACGCGGGAACCACAGGCUCGACCCGCCGGAGGACCACUGCCAGACAUGCAAAAUCACCUGCCGGCUACACCAGAACCACUUGGCAAACACUCCGGAAUCACCUGCCGGGCAUGCCGGAACCACCUCUCAGACAUGCCAGAACCACGUGCCAAUGACACCAGAAGCACCUGCCGAGCAUGCCGGAACCACCUGCUCGACUCGCCAGAAACACCUGCCGGACACGCCAAAAUCACCUGCCGGAUACGCCAGAACCACCUGGGGGACACUCCGAAAUCACCUGUCGCGCAUGCCGGAACCACCUCUCAGACGUGCCGGAAGCACGUGCCGGACACGCCGGAAUCACCUACCGGACAGACCGGAACAACCUGCCGAGCACGCCGGAGCCACCUGUUCGACUCGCUGGAACCACCUGACGGACAGGCCAAUAUCAACUGCUGGCUACGCCAGAACCGCUUGGCGGACACUGCGGAAACACCUGUCGGGCCGGCUGGAACCACAUCUCAGACGUGCCAGAAACGUGUUCAUGAGAUGCUGGAACCACACCCCGAACAGACGGAUACCACCUGCCAGAACCGCCUGAACCACCUGCUGAGCACGCCGGAACCACCUGCUCGACUCACCGGUACCACCUCCCUGACACGCCAAAAUCACCUGCUGCGUAUGCCAGAACCACUUGGCGGACACUCCGGAAUCAUCUGCCGGACAUGCCGGAACCAGCUCUCAGACACACCAGAACCAAGUGCCGGAGACGCCGGAAGCACCUGCCGAGCAGGCCGGAGCCACCUGCUCGACUCGCCAGAAACACCUGCCGGACACGCCAAAAUCACUUGCCGGGUAUGCCAGAACCACCUGGCGGACACAACGGAAUCACAUGUCGCGCAUGCCGGAACCACCUCUCAGACGUGCCGGAAGCACCUGCCGGACACGCCGGAAACACCUACCCGACAGACCGGAACCACCUGCCAAGAACGCCGGAGCCACCUGUUCGACUCGCUGGAACCACCUGCCGGACAGGCCAAUAUCAACUGCUGGCUAUGCCAGAAAC